GAAGUCCAGUCAGUACGUGAUGAAGCAGUGUACAGAUCACACUCCAAGUGCUCCUGUUAACUUGACAAUUUUCUGUUUUUGCGGGUUAGUUGGAUGGUAAAUAAU